UACAGAGGGUGCAAACGUUGUUCGGAAUUACUGGGCGUAAAGCGUGCGCAGGCGGCGCGUUAAGACAGGUGUGAAAGCCCCGAGCUUAACUUGGGAAUUGCGCUUGUGACUGGCGUGCUGGAGUGUGGCAGAGGGAGGUGGAAUUCCACGUGUAGCAGUGAAAUGCGUAGAGAUGUGGAGGAACACCGAUGGCGAAGGCAGCCUCCUGGGCCAGCACUGACGCUCAUGCACGAAAGCGUGGGGAGCAAACAGG
rnacentral:rRNA from 1 species